GACGAACGCUGGCGGCGUGCUUAACACAUGCAAGUCGAACGGAAAGGCCCUGCUUGCAGGGUACUCGAGUGGCGAACGGGUGAGUAACACGUGGGUGAUCUGCCCUGCACUUCGGGAUAAGCCUGGGAAACUGGGUCUAAUACCGGAUAGGAGCCAUUUUUAGUGUGAUGGUUGGAAAGUUUUUUCGGUGUAGGAUGAGCUCGCGGCCUAUCAGCUUGUUGGUGGGGUAAUGGCCUACCAAGGCGGCGACGGGUAGCCGGCCUGAGAGGGUGGACGGCCACAUUGGGACUGAGAUACGGCCCAGACUCCUACGGGAGGCAGCAGUGGGGAAUAUUGCACAAUGGGCGCAAGCCUGAUGCAGCGACGCCGCGUGGGGGAUGGCGGCCUUCGGGUUGUAAACUCCUUUCGCUAGGGACGAAGCUUUUGUGACGGUACCUAGAGAAGAAGCACCGGCUAACUACGUG
rnacentral:rRNA from 1 species